CCACACCCACCGUGUGUCCUGUGCUCAGUGUGUGCUGAGAGAAGUGCGGUCACCUGUUCCUGCUCCAUGAUUUAUUGGGUUACAUUGUGGAAUCCAUCUGGGGCUGUUCUGAAUCACCCCAUGGAUCCUGGCAGAGUUUGCAAUUUCUUAGUGUCAGAAGAACAAUCUCGCCUUCCCAUCAUCUCACCUGCCAUCAGGCAAAAAAAGACGUGUCUGUCAGGCAGUUCCAGGCUAAAUAAGCACUGCUGGUUCCAAGUCCCUUCCAGGAUGGGUCAACCAGAGGAGAAGCAAAGCGCAAGGGCUGCUCACAGGGAUUUGGGCCUCAGGCCUCUGGAACCCUGGAAUGUUCUGGCCUGCAGCUUUCCAAAGCCCAGGUGCUUACUCUUCUGCGGGGCUGGGAGUCCCAUGGGCUUGGCCUGCUAAUUACCUGGACAGGGGACAGCAAGCUCCAGGAGGCCAGUGGGAGAGAUAGCAUCUAGAAGACUGAGCAGCUUAACCCGAGGAGAGGGGCUGUGGCAUUUUAUCUACCGGAUCCGGUUUGCUAACACAGCUUUGUGUAUGUUUCUAAAAAUAGACAGGAAGUCAUUAAACUUGAUGUGCGAUCUU